rnacentral:rRNA from 1 species
GACGGGAGGCAAGUGUUCUUCAAAAUGACUGGGCGUAAAGGGCACGUAGGUGGUGAAUCGGGUUGAAAGUGAAAGCCGCCAAAAACUGGCGGAAUGCUCUUGAAACCAAUUCACUUGAGUGAGACAGAGGAGAGUGGAAUUUCGUGUGUAGGGGUGAAAUUCGGAGAUCUACGAAGGAACACCAAAAGCGAAGGCAGCUCUAUAGGUCCCUACCGACGCUGAGGUGUGAAAGCAUAGGGAGCGAACAGG